rnacentral:rRNA from 1 species
AGUCCGAACUCUCACUUUCUAACCCUGUGCAUUUGUUUGGGGUAGUAGCCUUUCGGGGCGAAUCCCUAUUCACUUAUAAACACAAAGUCUAUGAAUGUAUUUAAUUUUAUAACAAAAUAAAACUUUCAACAACGGAUCUCUUGGCUCUCGCAUCGAUGAAGAACGCAGCGAAAUGCGAUAAGUAAUGUGAAUUGCAGAAUUCAGUGAAUCAUCGAAUCUUUGAACGCACCUUGCGCUCCAUGGUAUUCCGUGGAGCAUGCCUGUUUGAGUGUCAUGAAUACUUCAACCCUCCUCUUUCUUUAUGAUCGAAGAGGUGUUUGGAUUCUGAGCGUUUUGCUGGCCUCACGGUCGAGCUCGCUCGUAAUGCAUUAGCAUCCGCAAUCGAACUUCGGAUUGACUUGGCGUAAUAGACUAUUCGCUGAGGAAUUCUAGUCUUCGGACUAGAGCCGGGUUGGAUUAAAGGAAGCUCCUAAUCCUAAUGUCUAUUUUUAAGAUUAGAUCUCAAAUCAGGUAGGACUACCCGCUGAACUUAAGCAUAUCAAUAAGCGGAGGAAAAGAAACUAACAAGGAUUCCCCUAGUAGCGGCGAGCGAAGCGGGAAGAGCUCAAAUUUAUAAUCUGGCACCUUCGGUGUCCGAGUUGUAAUCUCUAGAAGUGUUUUCCGCGUUGGACCGCACACAAGUCUGUUGGAAUACAGCGGCAUAGUGGUGAGACCCCCGUAUAUGGUGCGGACGCCCAACGCUU